rnacentral:rRNA from 1 species
UACGUAGGGGCCGAGCGUUGUCCGGAGUUACUGGGCGUAAAGCGCGCGCAGGCGGCUCGUCAAGCCUGACGUGAAAGCCCCCGGCUCAACCGGGGAGGGUCGUCGGGGACUGGCGGGCUUGAGGUCGGCAGGGGUUGGUGGAAUUCCCGGUGUAGUGGUGAAAUGCGUUGAUAUCGUAAGGAACACCUGUGGCGAAAGCGGCUUACUGGGUCUUUUCCGACGCUGAUGCACGAAAGCCAGGGGAGCAAACGGG